rnacentral:sRNA from 1 species
ACGUACCGCGCGUAAGCGCUGGUUCCUGCACGCCGUCCGCUCACCUGAACACCGCUCGCUACGCCUGACCAGCC